UACCAGCACCCCAAGUGGUCGGGACGUUUAUUGGGCCUAAAGCAUCCGUAGCCGGUUCUGCAAGUCUUCCGUUAAAUCCACCUGCUUAACAGAUGGGCCGCGGAAGAUACUAUAGAGCUAGGAGGCGGGAGAGGCAAGCGGUACUCGAUGGGUAGGGGUAAAAUCCGUUGAUCCAUUGAAGACCACCAGUGGCGAAGGCGGCUUGCCAGAACGCGCUCGACGGUGAGGGAUGAAAGCUGGGGGAGCAAACCGG
rnacentral:rRNA from 1 species